rnacentral:rRNA from 5 species
GGAAGUAAAAGUCGUAACAAGGUCUCCGUUGGUGAACCAGCGGAGGGAUCAUUACCGAGUUUACAACUCCCAAACCCAAUGUGAACCAUACCAAACUGUUGCCUCGGCGGGGUCACGCCCCGGGUGCGUCGCAGCCCCGGAACCAGGCGCCCGCCGGAGGGACCAACCAAACUCUUUCUGUAGUCCCCUCGCGGACGUUAUUUCUUACAGCUCUGAGCAAAAAUUCAAAAUGAAUCAAAACUUUCAACAACGGAUCUCUUGGUUCUGGCAUCGAUGAAGAACGCAGCGAAAUGCGAUAAGUAAUGUGAAUUGCAGAAUUCAGUGAAUCAUCGAAUCUUUGAACGCACAUUGCGCCCGCCAGUAUUCUGGCGGGCAUGCCUGUCCGAGCGUCAUUUCAACCCUCGAACCCCUCCGGGGGGUCGGCGUUGGGGAUCGGGAACCCCUAAGACGGGAUCCCGGCCCCGAAAUACAGUGGCGGUCUCGCCGCAGCCUCUCCUGCGCAGUAGUUUGCACAACUCGCACCGGGAGCGCGGCGCGUCCACGUCCGUAAAACACCCAACUUCUGAAAUGUUGACCUCGGAUCAGGUAGGAAUACCCGCUGAACUUAAGCAUAUCAAUAAGCGGAGGA